GAAGGUAUGAGUGCAACAAGGUAUCUGAGCACGCUCUCCAGUAGUUCUCGCUCUCCUUUACCCACCCCACUUCUGCAAGAGGCUAAUCUGACUCAUUCCGCUGGGCUCUUUUUUAUGCACACAUAUGAGCACACACACCUAGAAAUGAGAAAACCGGUCAAGUCAAAUAGACAUUAAGAAGAAGCCACCACAGAACAGGCCAUGCGAUGGAUUGUAUAAUUCAGGCAAGCUAUUUUAGCACAGAAGAUAAACCUGAGUGAAACUUUACAACCAAAAUGAAUAAAGUCUGAAAUUUAUGAGUCCACACUGAUCUACUUUUAUCAAAAGUACCAAACUUGAAAAGUCAUUUCCCAUUAGACUCUGACUCUGCAGCUUAGCUUAGCUCUGGUUGCAGGAACCCCAUGUCCAUAAUCCCAG
rnacentral:lncRNA from 1 species